rnacentral:rRNA from 1 species
UACAGAGGGGGCAAGCGUUAUUCGGAAUUAUUGGGCGUAAAGGGCGCGUAGGCGGCCUGGCAAGUGGAUGGUGAAAUCCCUCGGCUUAACCGAGGAACUGCCAUCCAGACUGCUUGGCUUGAGACCGGGAGAGGUGAGUGGAAUUCCCGGUGUAGUGGUGAAAUGCGUAGAGAUCGGGAGGAACACCGAUGGCGAAGGCAAUCCCCUGGGCCUGCACUGACGCUCAUGCACGAAAGCGUGGGGAGCAAACAGG